GCUCCUAUGGCUCAGUUGGUAGAGCGCAUCACUAGUAAUGAUGAGGUCCUCAGUUCGAAUCUGUGUGGGAGCA
rnacentral:tRNA from 1 species